GACGAACCGUGCGAACGUUGUUCGGAAUCACUGGGCUUAAAGGGCGCGUAGGCGGCUUGCCAAGUCGGGGGUGAAAUCUUUCGGCUCAACCGGAAAAGGGCCUCCGAUACUGGCAAGCUCGAGGGAGGUAGGGGCGGACGGAACUUCCGGUGGAGCGGUGAAAUGCGUUGAUAUCGGAAGGAACGCCGGUGGCGAAAGCGGUCCGCUGGCCCUCUACUGACGCUGAGGCGCGAAAGCCAGGGGAG
rnacentral:rRNA from 1 species